CCCCACCAUGCUUCCCAUCACCACGUUGACCAUGGCCCCCUCUAGCCCUUCUCAGACCCUCACACGUGCCUCUGUCCCCGUGUCCCCUUCAGACUGGAGCAUUCGGGGGCUCCUGCAAAUGCCCCUUUGUGAGUGAACCCGCAGGUGUGGGGAAGCGCCCAGCAGCCCUCAUGGAACUCGGGAUCACGGCAGGAAGGGGGCAACGUGGAUGGACACCUGCACCCUGUGUGGGGGUAUAAAUCACCCUACAGGGCGCUCGUCACCUGGCCAGCCAGGAGAGGGACCAUCCGUCCCCACACCCGGUCCACAGCACCGCACCCGACUCAGCCCCAGCAUCGACCAGAAGUCCCCGGCCCUCAGACCGGCCGCCCAGAGACAGUGGGAGUGAGGAGGCCACACACCGUCCAGGUUGAAUCACUGCGUUUUACUGAGUGCACAGGUCCACCUGGCGUCCGAACUCGUCCCCGUGGCAGCAGGGAUCCCCAGAACCUUCCACGGCCAUCGCGGCCGCAGGACCCCACACCCGAAGUCCCCCGCAAACCCGCACUGGCGCAUUCUUACGGCUCUGGCAUCAACCUGUCCGUGUGAGUAAGUUAAUAUCUCAGCUAAUCUGUUAGAAAACUAGAGUUCAUUCCCUGGGCGUCUAUCCCUAGAAAAUGGACGGUGCACAAAGUUGAGAUUGAAGUGUGCGGGGUAACACAUCCACCAAAAAAAGGCCUGGUCACUACGGCACAAGGACACAUACAAAAUGGUCAGAAGUGUACGUCGGUACUGAAGGCAUUAUGAAAUGUUCUUUGGAGCAUGAACAAAAGUGCAGACAGCCAGAGGCAACGGCGCAAAUGGGGAAGCUGCAGCCACCGUCACGGCCAGAGGAUGGCAGACUGCAAUGGCGUGGGGCGCGGGCAUGGCGGGCACACGUGGGCCGUGUGGAUCCCGGGCAGAGGGAUGGCGUCCAGCGGGACCACCAGCUCUGGGCGCCUCAGUGCGAGACCCCUCCGUGAGACCCCUCCUGCCCUGCGCGUGUCUCUGGAGCCCGUCCCUUGGGCCCCUCGCCCGCCCCACCUGUUCGCAGGGUCCAGGGCGUCCGUACCUGGCACAGCCAGGGGGCAUGGGGCGACCUCAGGGAGUUCCUGUCCACAUGCAUUAAGGCAACGACUUUGUAAAACCCAGGCGGAGUUGGCGUGUGGCGAUGGCGAUGUGCACGUGCCUGCCUGGUAGCCCCGGGGACCGGCCCCUCCUUGCUGGCGCCUGGCCGAGAGUCAGACGCUGAGGACCUCUCAGGACGGGGCCCCUGGCCAGAGCCAGUCUCCUCGGCCAGCCAGGGGCACCACGGCAAGUGUCCAAGCCCAGAGCACACUCAACUCCACCCCACAAACGCCUUUUAAAACUCUGAAGAGGCCCCUCCAUCCCAAAUGGUCCCCUCCCGUCUCUCCUCCUCCACCGUUGCCCACAACCUCCCCCGGCGAUGUCACCUCCUCCCAGGGUCGGCCGUCAGCCCCCACCCUUACAAGACGGCAAAGUUCAGCAAACUGGAACCCCCAUUCACUCAUGCUCCCGGGUCAUGGAAAGCUCCUGGGUGUGCAGCUUCUCUAGGUCUCCCGGAGGGACAGGAACCUGCGUAUUCCCUCGACCCCGGAGUCCACCAUCCCACAUCCUUCAGGAAGCCGCCCUGGCUGUCUCUCCGGCUGCUUAGCGCUUUGCUGGGGCCGAGGUGGAGACUGCGCGCUGGGUGGGAAUGCAGGAUGGCUGCCCGGCACAGCCACACAGGCUCCCCAGGCGGCCAUUCCGUCCUGCAGCCCCUAAAGGCCCUGACCAGGCCUCUUCACGCCACCCCCAUGCCCUGGACAUACGUGCAUGUGACCUGGGAGUUCUGCAUGGGUGUGGGGGUUGGGGGAGGCACCGGACAGGAUCAGAGGACACUGGGGGCACCCGUGCACUGAGCACCCACCCCUCAGAGCUCAGCCCCCUGCUGGGCACCCUCCACAGCAGGUCCAAGCCUCGUGAGCUGUCCCUCUCACACCACGUCUGCUGGGCACCCUCCAUGGCAGCAAGCCUCAUGAGCCAUCUCUCUCCCACCACAUCUGCCGGGCACCCUCCAUGGCAGGUCCAAGCCCUGUGAACCAUCCCUCUCACACCACGUCUGCCGGGCACCCUCCAUGGCAGGUCCAAGCCCUGUGAGCCGUCCCUCUCACACCACGUCUGCUGGGCACCCUCCACCAGGUCCAAGUCUCGUGAGCCGUUCCUCUCACACCACGUCUGCUGGGCACCCUCCACAGCAGGUCCAAGCCUCGUGAGCCGUCCCUCUCACGCCACGUCUGCCGGGCACCCUCCACGGCAGGUCCGAGCUUUGUGAACCGUCCCUCUCACGUCUGCUUUGAGGGUUUGUGUCAAUGGGGCUGUGCAGCAUCAACCUGUGAUCUUGCCAAUGCCCCAGCCUCUGCUCUGUACGGCAUUCAUAGCUCAGGAGGGCGGGGACAAGGGCGUUUCUGCAAAGCUCUCACAGCUCCUUCUGCUCCUCGGCUUCUGGGAAGCAACUAGAAAUAGCUGAGAGCCCAGCUCUUUCUAGAGAGAAGGGGGUGUCCUUUAUGGGGGUCCCUGACUGUGGGGGACCGAGCCCAGCUGGAGUCCUCCUCCCCUUCUCUCCGGCAGCAGGUCUCUCUGGCAGCAGGGUCUGGAAUCUAGAAACACUGAGACCUCCAGCCCCGAAGGGGGCAAACAUUAAACCACACGCCCUGGCUGUGCCUCUCCUCCGGGCGGGACUUGGGGUGAUCAGACCCACAGCUCAAAGGGUGCCCCCUGGAGAAGCCCUCACAGUGCCUGGGGUGAUUUCAGCCUCCAAGGGGGGGCUUGAGACGAGGCCCCCCAAAAGGUAGGGGCAUCGCUGAGGGGCAGCGUGUCCUCCGGUGGGGGGUGUUGGGCACCUGCCCUGCUCAGACGGCUGUGUGCAGGAGGCAUGGGAGGAGCCCUCCCCCAGCGUGUCCCAGCCGUGGUGGCAGCUGGAAGACUCACGGACUGUGAUUUUAUGCAGAGGGAGAAGGAGAAGCUGGGCCAGGAAACCACAACAGGCAGCAGCACCUGCCUGGGCUGGGGCCUGGGAUUCGAGGCUGAGCCACCCAUCCCAGGAGGGCCCAGCACCUCCAGGGCAGACCAAACACAGGACCCAACCGGACACCCAUACAGACACCGGGGCACCUUGGCAUCUGGUAGAGCCCCUCCUCUGGAUGGCUGCCAGGCUGUGGGAGGGAAGGGCAGCACGAGACCCUGAUUGGGCUCUGCCUGGCGCUCUGCCACUGCGGACCAGGAGCCCGGACAGUCGGAUACC
rnacentral:lncRNA from 1 species